rnacentral:misc_RNA from 1 species
AAUUCUCAACCUCUCUAGUUUUCUGAACUGGUUAGGCUUGGAUUUUGGAAGCUGCUGGCUCAUAACGAAUCAGCUCUUCUUAAAUAUAUUAGCAGACUUUUGCUGCUCAUCAUUGGUAUGAUAAUUAUCUAUAUCAUUGAGAAACAGUGUCCUUCACGGGAGAAGUCUUGCUUCUAAUCGUCUUUUAAGACAAUCUGAUAACU